AUAUUUUUCAAAAAAAUAAAAAUCUGUUCUGAUCAGUUUAAUAUCUGAUACGUCCCUAUCGGGGACAUAUAUUAAUUGAUUUUUGGAACAGGGAGAUGGAAUAGGGGCUUCUCCUCCACUCCACUCACCGACCUGGUAUGGCAGUACCUCCAGGAACGGUCCAACCCGU
rnacentral:snRNA from 1 species